rnacentral:rRNA from 1 species
UACGUAGGGUGCGAGCGUUGUCCGGAAUUAUUGGGCGUAAAGGGCUCGUAGGCGGUUUGUCGCGUCGGGAGUGAAAUCAUCUGGCUUAACUGGGUGCUUGCUUUCGAUACGGGCAGACUAGAGGUAUGCAGGGGAGAACGGAAUUCCUGGUGUAGCGGUGAAAUGCGCAGAUAUCAGGAGGAACACCGGUGGCGAAGGCGGUUCUCUGGGCAUGUCCUGACGCUGAGGAGCGAAAGUGUGGGGAGCGAACAGG